AGUGAACGCUGGCGGUAGGCCUAACACAUGCAAGUCGAACGGCAGCACAGUAAGAGCUUGCUCUUACGGGUGGCGAGUGGCGGACGGGUGAGGAAUACAUCGGAAUCUACUUUUUCGUGGGGGAUAACGUAGGGAAACUUACGCUAAUACCGCAUACGACCUACGGGUGAAAGCAGGGGAUCUUCGGACCUUGCGCGAUUGAAUGAGCCGAUGUCGGAUUAGCUAGUUGGCGGGGUAAAGGCCCACCAAGGCGACGAUCCGUAGCUGGUCUGAGAGGAUGAUCAGCCACACUGGAACUGAGACACGGUCCAGACUCCUACGGGAGGCAGCAGUGGGGAAUAUUGGACAAUGGGCGCAAGCCUGAUCCAGCCAUACCGCGUGGGUGAAGAAGGCCUUCGGGUUGUAAAGCCCUUUUGUUGGGAAAGAAAAGCAGCAGGUUAAUACCCCGCUGUUCUGACGGUACCCUAAGAAUAAGCACCGGCUAACUUUGUG
rnacentral:rRNA from 1 species